rnacentral:lncRNA from 1 species
UUAAAUAAAUAAUCUUAGAUAAUUUACAUUAGAAUGAUUUUUAAAUCCCUCCCCAAUAUCUCAUUUCACAAAAUCCAUGUCGUCCUUUUCCCGCAAACCCUAAGUCCUCUCACCAAAAUUAUUCUACGGCGAUUUCCUCUCUACGUUCCUCACUCCUCUUGUUCCUCUUUAAUAUUUCUCCUCUUCAUUCUUUUCUCUCAAAUCUAACCAACAAACAUCCAAGCUCUACUGAAUUUUAGAUCUCAAAUUCUUAUUCAAUCGGAAGAAAAUGUUUGAUGUGAACAUACUGAAGUAGUAUUGAAGGCGUUCCCAAUGCCCUAGUUCACUACAGGCCUUAAAAGGUAAGCUUUUGAUUCUCUGUUUGUAUUCACUGAUGUAAUUUGUCUAUUCUAAUGUGUUAGAAUCUGUGUAAGUUCUGCGUUCUUAGAGUAUUUUUAUUUUGAGUAAAGAUUAUGUCCAUGGAUAUCUUAUCCUUGGAGGAUCCAUCUUGUUCUGAUUUAGCUGAUAUAUUCUUUGUUUAUGUUCUACCUAAGAGACUGUACUAAUACAAUUUGUGGUUGUUCCUGAUGAUGCUAUUUGUGUUUGAAAGUUGAGUUUGACCUCAAUUUUUUCCCAUGACUUAAUAACCAUUCAUUAGUAAAACACCAUGAAUAAGCUACUAAUUGGAUAGAAACCAACUCUAUGAGUUAAACAACAAUCUUGAUUGGUCUGUUUUUAUCUGAACUCUAUGAAAGUACAUUCUUAUUUAAGAUACCAUGAAGAUUAUAUGUUUUAAUAUCUAAACUUUCAUGUUACUGCUUGCUAGUGAAAAUUAGACCACUUAAUAAUUCACUUUUUAAGAUUUCUGAUUAUAUCCAUAGGUAUCAAGUGUAUUAUUUUGGUGAACUCAGACUUAAUAUAUUACUUAAAAAGCUAAUGAAAGGUUGUCUUAUGUUGUGCAUCUAAGUAAUUUAUUAAAGUAAUUCUCUUUUUCUUGCUAGAGGUAAAAGGAUUAGUAUUUAUAAACUAAAGGUGAAUAUGGACAAAAAAUAAAUAUCUAGUAUUCUCAAUGCAAUACCAAUCAACCAAGUACUUUCAGUGUGGAAUAUGUAGAAUUUCUUACCCAAGGCUCCAAGAAUGAGUAGAAGUACCUCUCAAUAAGGCUAGUGCAAAAUGAGAUUUGAAAUAGAUGAGUUGAUAAAAAGUUUCAUUUCUUAUUAAGUUCUAUUAGCUAAACUAUAGUCACUACAUAUGGUGGAAAUAAUUAUGGUUUAUUCAAUCAAAUAAAAAUAAAUAUAAUAUAUUUUAUCCUCUAUAAUCUCCUACAUUGAUUCACUAUCAUCUCCACAGAGCAAUGACAUCUAAUAUAUUAUUGCCGCAAAAUGUUGAAUGUUCAAGUUUAGAUGGAGAAGCUUGUUCUUAUAAAUUCGAGAAUUAUUUUCAAAAGCUCGAGUGGAUUGACUAUAUAGUACAGAGAGUGGAAAAGAAUAUUUGCAUUUGUAGGGAUCUCCAGAUGUUUUUCUAAGUAGUGGAAGUACUUUCCUUGAUCAUCCAAUUAACAUUUCAUAAUUUUUCUUAUUUGGUUAUAGGAAAAUCUUUUAUCUUUAUGUUCCUUCAUGAUGCAGAGACAAUUAAUUCAAGUAAGUCAAUUCCUCUUUUCCUAUGGUUGUGAUGAUGUCAUAGAUGUAGGAGUUAUAUUAAUAAUAACAUUGGUUUAUCACUUAUCACCUUGAUUAUGUUCAAAUAUAUUAAAUUAACUUAAUAUUAUUGGUAAGAAGACGAUGCCGACCAAUCUAAUUAUUCAUGAUAUUUUAGGGAUAUUCGAAUUCUUCUUGACUAUUUUAGGAUAUUCCAAGUUGAAAUGAAAAACAUAAGCAACAUUAAUAGUUUUUGAAAAUUUGACAAUAAAUGAUGCAUCUUAUUACUUAUAUGCCUUUUUCAUUGACAUCUAGGAUCGUACUCUGUUGUUUGAAACACAUGAAUUGUAUAUUUCCUUGAUCUUUAGUAGUAUAAAUUUGUAUACAGACUAAUAGAACAUUGUGACACCAUAGAUAUAAGUUCUGAUUCUUUUAUUUUGUCUCCCAAUAUCUCUGUCUCUGUAAUAAUUUUGCAUUUAGUAUUAUUUCUAAAUGCUUAAGUUUACCUGAUGCUUACACAAUCCCCUUGGAUCUAAAGUCAAUAUCAAAUUCAGUGGGGUUUAGAGGUUCAAAGGUCCAUUUUAUAUUUGAGGUUCUAUAGAGUGACGAGGAUAUGUGAAGUUAAUAUCUUAUGCCAAGAUUAGUUUAGACUUUCAUUCACUUAAGCUUAAUUUUUUUCUUAUUUAAUCUAAGGGAAAUAAGUUAAAUCUUGGUGAUUUUUUAUUAUUGUUAUCUAGUCAACUUUAGAUGAAACAAUAUCAUCUAGUCGAUUAAGUCAGAAAAUCUUUAUUUAGAUGCGUACUAAGCGAAUGAAAAUUCACUAGUAUUGUUGGGAAUACAGAUUUAAAGAAAACAUUUAUAGAAUAAUGUUUAAGUUAUCUACCUUUUAGGACAAAUAAUGUUAGCAUCCUAUAGAAAUUUUUUACAUAUAAGGUUUGACCCUUGUGUCUCUUGAAGAUCAUCCAGCCUAAACUUUUUCAUUAGGUUGUGCCUAUUCUAGGCUUUGAUCUUUACUUUAAUAGCUUUUAGUAGUUUUAACCAGGUCUGUAGCACUCGAGUUAGGUAAGUUUAAAUUUUUUUUCUUGACUUAAUUUAAAUCACAUAAUCUAGAGGUUCCUCAAGGUACUUUCUAAUACUUUACUCUUCAUGACCUUCCUGUAUUUGUUUAUUUGUCUGGCUGUCUUGCUUGGAUAAAAGGUAACUUGAUUAAAUAAAUUAGAAAGUCUUACUAAUUCAUAAUCUGAUCGGUAAUCCUAUUUAAUAUAUCACACAAUUUUAAUUCUUUCCUUUUGUCAACUGUAAGCCAAGAUUACUUAUUGUGAAACUGCUUCUAUUCUACAUGUUAGUGUUAUGCUGAAGUACUUUAAAUUCAAACGUGAUAGUUCAUUGCAGUUUAUGUUACUAAUUUAGUCUAUAUAUGUGAGUAAACGUGAUAGUGCUUUACAGUUUAAGUUACUGGCUCAUUCUAUAUAUGUUGGGAUAGCUCGGAUGCCUUACGUGUUUUCUAGAAAGCAUUCAAGUUUGUUUCUAGACCUCAUGUGUGCCUAGUCUUUUGUUUAAUGGAUGCAAUAUGAGAGUAAACUGAUGUAUUAACAUUUCUUCUAGGGGUUUAUUAUAAUACUUAUUAUCAUAAGAAAUAUUGAUAUAAUUAGAAAUUCCUUUUGUCUUGUGUAUUAACAAAGUUUUUUAUGCAACCUAUCAAAAAUAUGUGCAUGAACUCCUUUGUCCGAAUAAUGUGGUUCAUGAUGUGAUUCUCUAUUGGAAACAAUCUCUUUACUUUCAAAGUAGGGAUAUGGACUGCAUACACAAUACCUUCUUCAUACCUCACUUAUAGGGUUACAUUGGGUAUGUUGUGGAACUUAGUUCUCUUUCAAUUCUCAUGUUUGUGGUAUUCGGCUUUAGUUAUUUAGUUGGUCCACUUUGAUCUUACUAGGCAAUAUAUUUGUGAAUUUAUUAGAGAUGAGCUUAGUAUACUAGGAUCAAACUAUCUUGUGCAACUUUCAUCGGUCAUAUUCAUGUCAUUUGCUUUCUUAAAUGCUUUCGACAAUCUUCUAUUACUUCUUUUAUUUUAGUAUUAUAUUAUGAAAGUUAUCAAAGUAAUUAUAUUUUUUUACUCUUAAUUAUAGGGACAAGACUCUAGAACACAAACAGAGUUGAAGAACAAGUUUGAAGGC